GGCCGGGAACUCAAAGGAGACUGCCAGUGAUAAACUGGAGGAAGGUGGGGAUGACGUCAAGUCAUCAUGGCCCUUACGACCAGGGCUACACACGUGCUACAAUGGCGCAUACAAAGAGAAGCGACCUCGCGAGAGCAAGCGGACCUCAUAAAGUGCGUCGUAGUCCGGAUUGGAGUCUGCAACUCGACUCCAUGAAGUCGGAAUCGCUAGUAAUCGUGGAUCAGAAUGCCACGGUGAAUACGUUCCCGGGCCUUGUACACACCGCCCGUCACACCAUGGGAGUGGGUUGCAAAAGAAGUAGGUAGCUUAACCUUCGGGAGGGCGCUUACCACUUUGUGAUUCAUGACUGGGGUGAAGUCGUAACAAGGUAACCGUAGGGGAACCUGC
rnacentral:rRNA from 5 species